rnacentral:rRNA from 1 species
GAUGAACGCUGGCGGCGUGCCUAACACAUGCAAGUCGAACGGAGAGUACGGACGGACGCUUUCGGAUGGAAGCCUGCAAUUCUUAGUGGCGGACGGGUGAGUAACGCGUGGGCAACUUGCCCUAUACAGGGGGAUAGCAGCUGGAAACGGCUGGUAAGACCGCAUAAGUGGGUUAAAUGGCAUGAUUUGAUCGGGUAAUGAGCAGUCAGGUAUAGGAUGGGCCCGAGUCGGAUUAGACAGUUGCGAUGGUAAAAGACUACCAUAGGGAGGAUCGGUAGCCGGGCUGAGAGACACGGCGGCGACACUGACGGGGGGCCACAGCCCGGACUCCUGCGCGAGGCGGCAGAGGGGGAUAUUGCAAAAUGGAGGAAGCGAUGAUGGAGCGACGCCGCGUGAGUGAUGAAGUAUUGCAGUAAGUAAAGCUCUAUCAGCAGGGAAGGUGUUGACGGUACCUGACUAAGAAGCCCCGGCUAACUACGUG